rnacentral:rRNA from 1 species
AUUGAACGCUGGCGGCAGGCUUAACACAUGCAAGUCGAACGAGUGGCGGACGGGUGAGUAAUGCUUGGGAAUCUGGCUUAUGGAGGGGGAUAACGACGGGAAACUGUCGCUAAUACCGCGUACCAUAGGAUGAGCACAAGGGGGAUUAGGUAUGUGGUGGGGUAAUGGCCUAACAAGCCGACGAUCUCUAGCUGGUCUGAGAGGAUGACCAGCCACACCGGGACUGAGACACGGCCCGGACUCCUGCGGGAGGCAGCAGGGGGGAAUAUUGCGCAAUGGGGGCAACCCUGAUCCAGCCAUGCCUUGUGUCUGAAGAAGGCCUUCGGGGUGUAAAGGACUUUUGUCAGGGAAGCGGUACCUGAAGAAUAAGCACCGGCUAACUACGUGCCAGCAGCCGCGGUAAUUC